rnacentral:rRNA from 1 species
AUACGGAGGGUGCAAGCGUUGUCCGGAUUUAUUGGGUUUAAAGGGUGUGUAGGCGGUGUAUUAAGUCAGUGGUGAAAGCCUGCGGCUCAACCGUAGAACUGCCAUUGAUACUGACACACUUGAGUUUGGUUGAGGUAGGCGGAAUUUAUGGUGUAGCGGUGAAAUGCAUAGAUACCAUAAAGAACACCGAUAGCGAAGGCAGCUUACUAAGCCGAAACUGACGCUGAGGCACGAAAGCGUGGGGAGCGAACAGGAUUAGAUACCCGGGUAGUCC